GAAAGACAGAACAAGGGAGAAGGAGAAAGUAUAUAUAUUUUGUUAAAAGUUGGUCAAACACUUCCUCGUUCUAUACCCUAUCAAAUAAAGCGAUACUGGGGGACACAGACACUGUCACGGGGCUUAACAUGAGUGACAGGAAUAAGAUACUCUAUUGUUUUUUACUCUUGCUGUACAGUGUCCUUGGGUUUCUUGAAAGUUGCUUUAAAUCUCAUGUAUUUUUUAUUCUUAAAUACUAUUAGAUAGAUGAUGUUGACAAAGGUUGCACUGUGAGGCUUGGCUUCAGCACUUUGAAACAGGCAGUCAUUAAUGAUGGAAGGUCUGAGUCUGCACCCCCCCAGGGCGCAGCUUCAGCACUUUGAAACAGGCAGUCAUUAAUGAUGGAAGGUCUGAGUCCGCACCCCCCCAGGGCGCAGCUUCAGCACUUUGAAACAGGCAGUCAUUAAUGAUGGAAGGUCUGAGUCUGCACCCCCCCAGGGCGCAGCUUCAGCACUUUGAAACAGGCAGUCAUUAAUGAUGGAAGGUCUGAGUCUGCACCCCCCCAGGGCGCAGCUUCAGCACUUUGAAACAGGCAGUCAUUAAUGAUGGAAGGUCUGAGUCUGCACCCCCCCAGGGCGCAGCUUCAGCACUUUGAAACAGGCAGUCAUUAAUGAUGGAAGGUCUGAGUCUGCACCCCCCCAGGGCGCAGCUUCAGCACUUUGAAACAGGCAGUCAUUAAUGAUGGAAGGUCUGAGUCUGCACCCCCCCAGGGCGCGGCUUCAGCACUUUGAAACAGGCAGUCAUUAAUGAUGGAAGGUCUGAGUCUGCACCCCCCCAGGGCGCGGCUUCAGCACUUUGAAACAGGCAGUCAUUAAUGAUGGAAGGUCUGAGUCUGCACCCCCCCAGGGCGCAGCUUCAGCACUUUGAAACAGGCAGUCAUUAAUGAUGGAAGGUCUGAGUCUGCACCCCCCCAGGGCGCGGCUUCAGCACUUUGAAACAGGCAGUCAUUAAUGAUGGAAGGUCUGAGUCUGCACCCCCCCAGGGCGCGGCUUCAGCACUCUUGAUGGGUUAUAGCCACACUAACAGAAAUGGAGGGAGGCGUGAUAAAAAAUGAAUCUAAAGGAUUCAGAGGAAGAGAUUUGAGAUAGGACAUAGGACAUAGCGAUUGGUCAAGCCAGGUAGUGAAGCCCUGGGAAACAGAGAGUGAGAAAAUCAGAGAGAUAAAUGGGGAGGCGUUGGCAGGAGAUGAGUUGCAGCUUGCAACAAACCGCCACUCCUUAAAAUAACUGCACAAAAUACCUACUCCCCUGCCUGCCCCACCUCCCCCAAAUAAACACACACACACCUUAACCCAGGGGUUCUCAAACAUUAUGGGGCCGGGGACCCCUUUUGUGAUAGUAAAUUCAUCAUGGACCCCCCCCCCAUAAUCAGAACACAACUCAAGUUGGAUAAUAAUAGCGUACAAAGAGUAUUGCCAUGACUUCGGCAGUGUGUGGACAGACAAACCAAGUUGAGCCCUAGGUUGGAACAUUUUAAAGGCUCACCUAAUAUCCUGCAAAUCUACAGAUGUUGUCAUGUGGCAGAGAUGUUUUGUUGUUGCAGCUUUUAAGCUGAUAUCCUAAUAUCCUACAAUUCUACAUAUUUUUCUAUGAGGCAGAGAGAAAAACUUUGCCGUUUUAAAGAUGAAAUUACACUGCAUUUAUGUCAAAUUGUUGUGGAUGUGUAAUUUUUUUAAUAUAUAUUUUGAGGUCUGGCUGUGAACCCACUGCAAGUCAUUGUUAGUGGGUUUGUAUGACCCCACAUUGAGAAUGCCUGCCUUAACUAAUUCAGAUUAACGAGGCAGCUCAACUCAAAAUAUUGAUAAAAGAUCUCAAUUCACCAAUUACAAUGGCCAUUAUUUGAUUUAUCCAUUCUGUAAAGAUCAUAAAUAAUAAUAAAAAAAGCUGAAUGACUGUUUGAAUGGGCAUUGUCAGUAGAGAGAAGGCGAGAUUGUAUUUAGGAAGAACAAGCAUCAAAUCAAAUUUUAUUUGUCACACACAUGGUUAGCAGAUGUUAAUGCGAGUGUAACGAAAUGCUUGUGCUUCUAGUUCCGACAAUGCAGUAAUAACCAACAAGUAAUCUAACUAACAAUUCCAAAACUACUGUCUUAUACACAGUGUAAGGGGAUAAAGAAUAUGUACAUAAAGAUAUAUGAAUGAGUGAUGGUACAGAGCAGCAUAAGCAAGAUACAGUAGAUGGUAUCGCGGACUGUAUAUACAUAUGAGAUGAGUAUGUAAACAAAGUGGCAUAGUUAAAGUGGCUAGUGAUACAUGUAUUACAUAAGGAUGCAGUAGAUGAUAGAGUACAGUAUAUACAUAUGCAUAUGAGAUGAAUAAUGUAGGGUAUGUAACAUUAUAUU